CAGUAGAGUCUGCAGGCCAGCGAGUAGGACCUUCUAACAGUGGACCAUUCCUCUGCUAUGCUGAGGAAGCCCUUAAGUUCCUCUUUUCUGGUGUCAUGAAUGGCUAGAACCAAGUGCACUCAGAAAUCCCUAGAAACACAUGAGAAAAAACCAAAGUCUGACAGGAGGAGCUUAAGUCCAAAGGCCACACUAGAAUAUGUGUCAGAAAACAAGAUGAAACAACAGUUUUCUGAUUCAAUGAACUGAGGACUUCAUACUGCAAACCCAUGUUGAGAAAUGGUUUAACAGCACAUGUGAGAAGAGGAAGAAGAAGACUGUGCAAUAAAAAUAACUGGGCAGAGCAGCAUUUGGAUAAAGGUCCAUAUCAGCAUAGUCAGGAGCAAAGGUGGAAGCAGCAAUGAGGUGAAACCCUUGAGGUGAAAGCCCAAGAAAUGUCAGAAGAAACAAAUGUACCACAAAGAGCAGGAGAUCCAAUGGCAAAUAGGAAGGGCAAAGUACCAGAACAAACAGCUGAAGCCAGGCCAGAAACAGUGGAAAAGACAUUGAAAGCACCAGAAACCACUGCAGCAGCAACAAUGGAUGCAGCAAGAGAUAUAAAAUCUGAAAUAUUAGCUAGAGCAGCAGAGAAGGUGGCAAAAGCACAAAGCGCAAUGGUGCUGAAAUCAGCAAAAUUAGAGUUGAGGCACAGAAGAAGAAAUGUAAACUUGAAGCAAAAAGAUCUUGUUCCCCAUGAUCUGGAGGAAAAUGAAGUAAAUGAGACUGAAAGAAAAUGAAGGAGGCAUGCAGUUAGCAAGAAAAUAGUAUACUAGUGGCAACAAGGGUGAUUGCUGUGUGUGACUGGGAAAUUACAUCUGGAACACUGCUUGUGUCUUCCUUGGGAAACAGUCAAUAAAGAUUUCCUGCAUUCUGA